UCAUAUAUGCGACAUUUUCUCACCACCAAAAAGCUUAUCAAAAUGGUUUAAAAAGUGGAUCACUUGAGCCUCCAUUUCUUUAAUUUUGGCUUAAAUGAAAUAUUUUUACAGGUAAACAUUACAACCCCUGUUAGGCAAUGAUCAAAAGCGAUAUUAUGUAUGACUUUUUUUCUCAGUUUUUAUUUUUUAAAUAAAUCAAACGGAAUUAUCAUGCUUUUAGUUUCUUUACAAAGUAAAAAUCCGUUGUUAAGCAUUUGUAUGAACAGAUUCCAUACUUUGUGGAGCCAAUUCAUGAAUAUGUAGUUGAAUGGCUGCCUACCUGACAUUCAAAACAAACUCUCCCAAGUAAGUUUUCUAGACACUUUUUGACCAUCUCACAUUUUACAAUGAUAUAUAAGAACCCCAACCUCCAAACUCCAUACGCAGAGGAAAAUACUAAUCCCAUCCAAAACACCAAAAAAGUGAAGAAUCAAACUGUUGAAAACAUUCGCCUGUCACUCGUUUCCUACCUUCGAGAAGUACAAGAUCUCAAAGAAGCAGCUCAAACUAAACAUGCAGAAGGUUUCACCAUGGAUGACAACUCUUACAACAUCAUCCCUACACAACAAGAACAUCUAGACUACAAAAUACUAAAGACCAUUCUUGAAGACGUCAGAGCUGAAAACCUCUCCAUAGAAGGCAAUAUAGCUUUCAUGUUUGGAUCCAUCCACAAAAGGAUUGGAAAGUUUGAAUGUGUGAUGAAAACUAUGCCUAAUGAGUAGAAAACAUAUGUAAUGUAUUUACUUCCAUGUCACUCUAUAAACAAAUGAAAUACCUAUCUUAAGUUCAUUUCACAAACAGUAGAAUGAAAAAUCCAACCCCCACAAAGUGAGGAUAUUUUUCCCUAAUUAUAUAUUAAAUCUGGAAAUCCUUAAGAACAGUUAUUUUAGUGAGCUUUGGAAUUUAGCCGCUCAUGUUUUAUAAAUUGGCAGUAUUAGUCCCUGUCUUUAUCAUCGGUUCUUCUCGAUGCUUCCCACCACCAUUAUCUUAUUUCACAACUUUCCACUUAAUCUCAAUUGGUGUCUCAAUGAGAGAGAGAGAGAGAGAGAGAGAGAGAGAGAGAGAGAGAGAGAGAGGGAAGAGGGUGAAACAACAGAUGUGUCACUGAUGUUGCUGGUCAGUGACGGUGUCGUUGGAGGGUAGGAACUGUCAUCGUUUCCUACACCGAUUGAACCCUCUAUUUUCGCAAUUUCUGCCUCCGGCUUCUUCCGCAAAUACAGGUGUUGUUUCAGAUAAAUACACUUCAACUGAUGUUUCUGAGUUAGAGUUUGUCGGCUUUUGUUUUCUAUAGGUGAAAGAAAGGGUGAAGGAAAAACUGACGUUAUUACUUAGGUACUUCAAAAGAGCGUCAGAUGGGUUGCUUUUCCUCCCGAUUUCUACGGUAACUACCUCUAAAAUAUCCUUUCAUUUCUCAGGGUCGAAUUUGGUUUUGAAGCCAAUUCUUUCUUUGAUUCUGGUAUGCCUAUUCACUUCGGUUUAACUUAUUGGUUCAUACUUGCAUCCUAAGGUCCUGUUGCUGUGAAGAAUUUCGUUUUUAACCGAUCAUAAAUUUUAACCUUUUACUUAUUAUUGUUAUACAAUGUUGUUUGCAUUACCUAUACCAUCUGUAAUGUGUUAAUUUGAUAUCUAACAUGAACUUGGGUUCCAAGAAUUAGGAUUAAGUUUAAGUUUUUGUCUAUUGGACUUUGAAAGAAACUAAAAUGU